GCACGAGUGGCGGAAUGGCAGACGCGCUGGAUUUAGGUUCCAGUUCCGUAAGGAGUGCAGGUUCAAGUCCUGUCUCGUGCACCA
rnacentral:tRNA from 1 species